rnacentral:rRNA from 1 species
AGUUUCCCUCAGGAUAGCUGGAGCACCGACAGUCUUAUCAGGUAAAGCGAAUGAUUAGAGGAUCCGGAGAAUUAAAUUCUUCGACCUAUUCUCAAACUUUAAACAGGUAAGGAGGGUACGUUGCUUAAUUGAACGUGUCCGGACGAUGUGCGCUCUUAGUGGGCCAUUUUUGGUAAGCAGACCUGGCGAUGCGGGAUGAACCGAA